rnacentral:rRNA from 1 species
GACGAACGCUGGCGGCGUGCCUAAUACAUGCAAGUUGAGCGCUGAAGGUUGGUACUUGUACCAACUGGAUGAGCAGCGAACGGGUGAGUAACGCGUGGGGAAUCUGCCUUUGAGCGGGGGACAACAUUUGGAAACGAAUGCUAAUACCGCAUAAAAACUUUAAACACAAGUUUUAAGUUUGAAAGAUGCAAUUGCAUCACUCAAAGAUGAUCCCGCGUUGUAUUAGCUAGUUGGUGAGGUAAAGGCUCACCAAGGCGAUGAUACAUAGCCGACCUGAGAGGGUGAUCGGCCACCUUGGGACUGAGACCCGGCCCCAACUCCUACGGGAGGCAGCAGUAGGGAAUCUUCGGCAAUGGACGAAAGUCUGACCGCGCCACGCCGCGGGAGUGAAGAAGGUUUUCGGAUCGUAAAACUCUGUUGGUAGGGAAGAACGUUGGUGAGAGUGGAAAGCUCAUCAAGUGACGGUACCUACCCAGAAAGGGACGGCUAACUACGUG